rnacentral:rRNA from 1 species
GAAUAUUGGACAAUGGGCGAAAGCCUGAUCCAGCCAUGCCGCGUGUGUGAAGAAGGUCUUCGGAUUGUAAAGCACUUUAAGUUGGGAGGAAGGGCAGUAAGCGAAUACCUUGCUGUUUUCACGUUACCGACAGAAUAAGCCCCGGCUACACCUGUGCCAGCAGCCGCGGUAAUACCGAGGGUGCAAGCGUUAAUCGGAAGUACUGGGCUUAAAGCUCGCGUAGUUUGUUCGAUAAGUUGGAUGUGAAAGCCCCGGGCUACACCUGGGAACUGCAUCCAAAACUGGCGAGCUAGAGGAGGGCAGAGGGUGGUGGAAUUUCCUGUGUAGCGGUGAAAUGCGUAGAUAUAGGAAGGAACACCAGUGGCGAAGGCGACCACCUGGGCUCAUACUGACACUGAGGUGCGAAAGCGUGGGGAGCAAACAG